UACGUAGGGUGCAAGCGUUAAUCGGAAUUACUGGGCGUAAAGCGUGCGCAGGCGGUUUUGUAAGUCUGACGUGAAAUCCCCGGGCUCAACCUGGGAAUUGCGUUGGAGACUGCAAGGCUAGAAUCUGGCAGAGGGGGGUAGAAUUCCACGUGUAGCAGUGAAAUGCGUAGAGAUGUGGAGGAACACCGAAGGCAGCCCCCUGGGUCAAGAUUGACGCUCAUGCACGAAAGCGUGGGGAGCAAACAGG
rnacentral:rRNA from 1 species